GACGAACGCUGGCGGCGUGCUUAACACAUGCAAGUCGAACGGUAAGGCUCCAGCUUGCUGGGGUACACGAGUGGCGAACGGGUGAGUAACACGUGGGUGACCUGCCCUGCACUUCGGGAUAAGCCUGGGAAACUGGGUCUAAUACCGGAUAGGACCGCACCGUGAGGGUGUGGUGGAAAGUUUUUUCGGUGUGGGAUGGGCUCGCGGCCUAUCAGCUUGUUGGUGGGGUAAUGGCCUACCAAGGCGGCGACGGGUAGCCGGCCUGAGAGGGUGGACGGCCACAUUGGGACUGAGACACGGCCCAGACUCCUACGGGAGGCAGCAGUGGGGAAUAUUGCACAAUGGGCGGAAGCCUGAUGCAGCGACGCCGCGUGGGGGAUGACGGCCUUCGGGUUGUAAACUCCUUUCACCACCGACGAAGGGUUUCUGACGGUAGAUGGAGAAGAAGCACCGGCUAACUACGUG
rnacentral:rRNA from 1 species